GACCGCUUAGCUCAGUUGGUUAGAGCGUCACGUUGACAUCGUGAAGGUCGGUGGUUCAAAUCCACCAGCGGUCA
rnacentral:tRNA from 1 species